AUCCACACAUACAAACAAUAUAACACAAAUUGAAGUCCAUUAUUGCAAUGUAACAAGCUGAGUGAUGUUACAACUUAACAUCUAUUACAAAAAUACUAAUAGCUAGAUGAUGUGCUUAAGAAAUUCUUUCACAAUAUCAGGAAAGUUUCCUCUAGCUUCAUUCCCGCGAUGUUUUAGCAAGUAUAAUAAAAAAUGCUUCCUCAAUUCAUACCCAUCCUGUAGAAAAAAUAAAUGUAGUUAGUAUGAAAAAUUCACGGAGAAGGUCUUAAAACAUGUAACCCACAAUACUCACCGCGCAAACCGGCUUGACCAAUUCUUUACCGUUCCACCAGAGCAUAAAAUGAAAAACAAAAUAGCCAGACACAUUCCUGGAAAACUUUCAAUUAAUAUUAUAAAUAAUAUAAUGAUAACAAACGUAAAUAUUCUUGUUAUGAAUUCAUUACCCGUCUAUACUCGUUGGAACACCGGCCAGAAAUAAACGAUGCCAUUUAGAUAUAUCAAAAUUCCACCCAGGCAGCUUUAUUUCGAGUGCUUCUUUGAAAUCCCUUGAAAAACUUUUUAAUUUCAGUGAAUGCCUCAAGUUUUUAUCCUCUGACGAUUGUGAUGAUUGAAUAGGAUCCAUAAUAUAUAGACGACGUGCCUCUUUGUCGAUGAUGUAGAGGAUGUAUCGGCCGAUGGAUGCAUAGGGAAGAUAAAUCUACAAGUGGAGCUAUUAGAAACAAAAACAAACCAUGCUAACAAUGGUCAAAAUAUUUUAUUUACCUUAUUGCAAGAUGAGAUGUCGGUCUCCAUCCCAGGCCAGCUAUCAAAUAAUGUUGCCAACGUCUGGAUAGUUUCCUUCUCACAAAAUUUCUGACCUCGUGUUGACUCUAGCAGCAUGGACUAAGUAAAAGAAAAAAUAUAUUGUUUCAACAUGUUGAUACUAAUAGCACCUAGAAUGAAGAGUUACGGUAACUUACACAAAAUCGUAGAUCCAUGUAGUGUAUAGGAGGGUCUGUGAACAAUAGUCCCUCAUCACAUGCCAGCAUAAGCACGGCGGUGUUGAAGCAAUCAUUGUCCAUGGGCUGCUCCAUGUUAAGUAUGCACUGAAGUUUCUUAAGACUUAAGCUCAUUGGAUCGGAUGUGGAGCUCCGGACCCAUACCUUCCUGUAAUUUGGAUGGUAAGAAGAACAAUAAUAUACAUCCGCACAUUAAAUAUUGAUACAUGAUACUUACUCCAAACAUCCAGCAUCAUUGAUCGACAUGAUGUAGUUGCAGAGGCCGGCAAGUAUUUCACGUUGGUCCGCGGGAAUGAUAGUGAUUGGGACGGGACGUUUCUCUUCGACCACGUCAGAUGGAUUAUCCAGGAUCUCAAGAUCAGAAUUAGCUAAAGUUUCUUCGUUGAGAGGUUGAUGGUACAUGGGACAUCCUUUUAACUUAUUAAGCUCUGAAUCGAGCAAAAUAAUUGCUAAUUUUUGUCGAAAAUGUUUCAUAUCCUCCUACAAAAAAAAUAUGAAAACAAUUUAUAAGAUAUUUUGAUAAAACAUUAUGAGAUAAUGUAUAAAACUGAAAUACCUGCGUAAACUGGUCUGACAGUCCAUGUGGUGUCCAGUAUUCCAUAUAAUUUAGCAUAAACAAUCCACAUGAUACGCUAUAAUAUUAUAAAAUAAUGCUUCAGAAUAUCACACAGAUGAAUCUAAAAACAAACCAUUGUAACAAGUGCUUACCCAUCGGUUUGUAUUGCCUCCUGAAUUUGCUCUACAACCGUCCAUUUUGUAACAUUGAGAUCAGGCCACUUAUGACCUUUGAUAAACUCCGGACUAUGCUCUACAAGUUUCAGCCAUUUCUCGAGCCCUAGCAACUAUUUUAUAUGUGAGAAAUGCUAAGGACGAAGUCAAACAAAAUAAAUGCUAAGAUGAGAAAAGAAAUAGAUAUUUACGGUAGUAGCAAGGUCAUUGCGUUUGACAUUCUCGCCAAGUGAGUCCAAUACUUGGAUCUCUCGUUUUUUGGCGUUGGCAACUGCUAGAUACCAAUGGUAGCCCGGCAUGUUAAUCGGAAUGAAUAACUGGUGUAAAUAAGAUACAAGUCACAGUCACAAUUAGAUAUAGUUAUUAAUAAAUUAUUAAACAUAUGAACUAAAUAAAAACAAUCCAUAAUUAUAUGCAUGGAUUACGAGACAAAAACUAACCAUAUCUUGUUGUAGAUAACAAUUAACAUGACGCACGAUGCGACGAUAUUUUGAUGGGUCUAUGUCUCUUUCCCCGUCUUCUUUUAUCUGGCCCGAUACAAACGUGCUAAUAAUGUGUACCUUUUCACCCGCCCUGUCUUGUAGAUGGUCGUGAGCAAGCAUGCAAUAUAUGUAAGCAUUUAUCACCUGUAAUGGGCAUUUAGAUUAUAUUUAUAUUUUAUGAUAUUAUAUAUUGUUUGUAUUAUUAAUUACAAAGUUUGUGCAAUUGGUCUUACACCGUCAUGUAAGAACAUAUCAUCUUUAAUAAGGCAUUCCAAAUCGUCGGUUGAUAACAAGGCAUCUCCAAUGUCUACGAACUGGGUAUUCUUCGGGGCAGACUUGAUUGAUUCGAUGACUGUAAUAUCCCUAGCGGUACAAACAUAGUCUGUCGAAUUCAUAAAAAUAUGAGCCAACUUAACAAUCAAAAUGAGCAAAAUUAGUUCAAUACAAAAGACAAUAUUACAAAAAUAAGAUUGAUAAUAAUAUUAAAAAAAUACCUUGUGGGAUAAUAUGUAAAUUAGCAUCCUUUUUUGGUUUGUUAUGAGAUAUAACCUCUUUGACAUUUUUAUGUUGUGAAUCUUCGUCCCCUUUCAGCGACAUCGCAUCUGAACCCUCAAUGGAUUCUUUCCGUGCAUCUCCAAAGUCCAUAUCCAUGUCUCCUGUAUUCUGAAAAAACAAGAAAAAUAAAGAAAGCCCUUCCGUAUUAUCAUCUAUAAGAUACAUACAGAGGAAGGUUAGCUAUAUGCACCUCUUCUCGUGGUGUUUCACUGUGGUC